AAGUCGUAACAAGGUUUCCGUAGGUGAACCUGCGGAAGGAUCAUUAUCACGUAAUAAUCCACGUUAUCAACCCUUUUCAAGUGAACUGUUUUGCACUACACUCUUUUUAAUAUUAAUGUGGCAUUUUCUGUUUGGUUUAAUAAUAAUAGUGAUGUGUUGGUUAUUGUACCAAUAACCACUUCAUUAUUAUUAUGAACAAGAUUUGCUCUAUAUUAAAAAGUGUGUAUGUAUUUACAUCUUAUUUCUUUUUUUUAACCAAUUGAACCAUACCACUUUUAAGAUUUAUGAACUGAUUUAACGAAAACAAAAAAACAAAGUCCAAGAUUGAAAAGUCUUGUCUGACUUAGUUUUCGUUACUAUAUUACGAAAACACUAGAACAACUCUUAGCAACGGAUAUCUUGGCUCUC
rnacentral:misc_RNA from 1 species